rnacentral:rRNA from 1 species
UAAUACGUAGGGGGCGAGCGUUGUCCGGAUUCAUUGGGCGUAAAGAGCUCGUAGGCGGCUUGGCAAGUCGGAUGUGAAAACUCCAGGCUCAACCUGGAGCCGCCAUUCGAUACUGCCAUGGCUAGAGUCCGGUAGGGGAGUGUGGAAUUCCCGGUGUAGCGGUGAAAUGCGCAGAUAUCGGGAGGAACACCGAUGGCGAAGGCAGCACUCUGGGCCGGUACUGACGCUGAGGAGC